UGAGUCAGCUAAGCAGUCGCUCUAUUCCACUUGUGAAUAGGGAGGAAAGUCCGGGCUCCGCAGGGCAAGGUGCCAGGUAACACCUGGGAAGCGUGAGCUUAUGGAAAGUGCCACAGAAAAUAAACCGCCUAUUUUCGGAUAGGUAAGGGUGAAAAGGUGCGGUAAGAGCGCACCGCGUUAUUGGUAACAAUAACGGCAUGGCAAACCCCACUUUGGUGCAAGAUCAAAUAUGAACUCCGUAGUGUGGCCCGCACUGAGUUCGGGUAGAUCGCUAGAGGUGUUUGGCAACAAGCAUCCCAGACAAAUGACUGUUCAUAUUCAGCAAAAACUGAAUUAGACAGAACCCGGCUUAUCGGCUGACUCUCCUA
rnacentral:RNase_P_RNA from 2 species